GGCUCAGGACGAACGCUGGCGGCGCGCCUAAUACAUGCAAGUCGAGCGAGAAGGUGUAGCAAUACACUUGUAAAGCGGCGAACGGGUGAGGAAUACAUGGGUAAUCUACCAUCGAGUGGGGAAUAACCAGCCGAAAGGUUGGCUAAUACCGCGUACGCCUCCGGAUCUUCGGGUUCGGAGGGAAAGCUGCACUGUGAGUGCGGCGCUCUUUGAUGAGCUCAUGUCCUAUCAGCUUGUUGGUAGGGUAACGGCCUACCAAGGCUUUGACGGGUAGCUGGUCUGAGAGGACGAUCAGCCACACUGGCACUGCGACACGGGCCAGACUCCUACGGGAGGCAGCAGUAAGGAAUAUUGCGCAAUGGGCGAAAGCCUGACGCAGCGACGCCGCGUGGGGGAUGAAGGUCUUCGGAUUGUAAACCCCUUUCGGGAGGGAAGAUGGAGCGAGCAAUCGUUCGGACGGUACCUCCAGAAGCAGCCACGGCCAACUUCGUGCCAGCAGCCGCGGUAAUACGAAGGUGGCAAGCGUUGUUCGGAUUCACUGGGCGUACAGGGUGUGUAGGCGGUUUGGUAAGCCUUCUGUUAAAGCUUCGGGCCCAACCCGGAAAGCGCAGAGGGUACUGCCAGGCUAGAGGGUGGGAGAGGAGCGCGGAAUUCCCGGUGUAGCGGUGAAAUGCGUAGAGA
rnacentral:rRNA from 1 species